UGUCCUAUCCCAGUCAAUCCCCGCCCUCUGCCCAGAGGUAACCACUCUUCCGACGGCUCCGGGCGUUCUUGUGUUCACACUUCCUCUGUCUCUAAACCAGACAGCCAGCCUGCCACCGAGGCCCGCCAGUUCUGGUUCUCCUCAGGCCCCAUCACCUCUCCUCUGGACAACAGCACCAGGCUCCUCACUGGUCCCCUCCCCGCAGUCACCCCUGCCCCCUGAGCAGCCGGAGCCAGGACAGAACAGAAGACUGGCCUUGGCCUUGACCUCAGCAGAGUCCCCAGAAAACAAGCGGGAUCCAAAAUGGCCUUCAGUGGGACCUUGGCUUCCGAUGGACCCCAGCGCCCUGCAGAGCAGAGACGCGGGUCAUCGGAUUCAGAGUCCACUUUCAGCGAUGGUCUCAUCUCCAGGUCCUCAACUUCCGUAGCUCUGCAAAGACCCUGCGAGGCUUCAUUUCAUUUGUCAACCUGACCGGCCAUGGCCCCCCCCACCCCCCACCCCCGCCGGAUGAAACAUUAUUUCUGGGUGUGUCCAGGAGGGUGUUUCCAAAUGAGAUUAGCAUUUGAAUCAGCAGACCCAGUGACGAAGAAGAUUGCCCUCCCCAGGCUGGGUGGGCAUCAGCCUAUCUGCUCAUCUACCAAGAGUGAAUGGAACAGAGAGCCUCACCAUGGAGCUGGGACAUCGCUUCCCAUGUUCUCCCACCCUUGGACUGGGAUUCACACCAUCAGCUCCCCGGGUUCUCAGGACUUUGGACUCAGACUGAAUUACACCCCUGGCCACCCUGCAUCUCCAGUUGGCAGAUGGCAGCGCGUGCAUGGGACUUCUCGGCCUCUAGAAUUGCAGGAGUGACGAUAUGUGUUUUGUGUCUCUGGAGAAUCCUGACUCAUGCAGACCCUAUUUCCAAGGAAGGCCACAUUCCCAGAUACUGUGGGUUAGGACUUGGACAUAUCUUUUUGGGGGACACUGUUCCGUACACUACAGGCCUGUUACCUGGGUCUUUGGUAGGAAGUGGACUGCAGAGGAUGUGGGCCUCACAGCUGUGUGGUCCUGGGUUCGAUCCCUCUGCUCGUGACCUCUUUACUAUGGUUGUUUCCUCUCCCACAAGUCUCAGGAAUCUGCUCUGACACCUGGAGGUAAGGGACUUAGCCCUCAAUCUUGGUGUGAGACCACUUAUUAGCUAUGUGACUGGGUGAGUUACUCAACUACUCCGUAUCUCAGUUUUCUCAUCUGUAAGGUGGGAAGAAUCAUAGUACCUAUUUCAACUGGUUGUUGAAGAUUGUUAUCAUUUCCCAGGGACACAGUGAACAUUAUGCAAGGGCUGUUUUCUUUCUUUCUUCCUUUUUUCUUUCUUUCUUUCUUUCUUUCUUUCUUUCUUUCUUUCUUUCUUUCUUUUCUUUGUAU